rnacentral:lncRNA from 1 species
UUGAAUAACUAUGAUCAUAUUGCCAAAAUGAUAUGUCAUGAAUGCUUGAAUAUCAUGUUUGAUAUACUCAUAAUGAUGAUUGAUUUUUCGAUAUCGUGCAUAAAAAAUGAAAUGUUAAUGAAUUUGUGCAUUAAAACUAUAAUGAUGCACAAUUAAGAAUGAUUACUUCCCUUUGUCAUGAUUUAGAAAUUGAUGUAAAGGGUUUUUCCCUUCUUUUUGACAAUGACAAAGGGGGAGAUAGAUUGCUAGCACAAUUCAAGAAAAAGGCAAAAAUUACAAAAGAGAAGAAAUUGCACACAAUUCGGUUUGGCCAUCUCCUACGGCUGCGUAAUCCUUCACAUUGUAAACACCGACAAUUGUGUCUGCACCCGCACCACUUAAGAUGAAGAACAACAAGCUAAUCCCAAUAAUACUUAAUUCUAAACCCAUUAUCAAGAGUCCUCUCCUCGAUCGAUGUAUUAUUUGAAUCAGUGCUUGUAUGUGCCUGUCAAUAUUCUGAAUUAAGCAACCAUUUAUAGUCAGAGCAUGCAAGAGAUUUCUUCCCAAGAAGUCAACAUGUCCAGAUUUAUUAGGCAAUUU